rnacentral:rRNA from 1 species
GUCCAGACUCCUACGGGAGGCAGCAGUGGGGAAUAUUGCACAAUGGGGGAAACCCUGAUGCAGCGACGCCGCGUGAGUGAAGAAGUAUUUCGGUAUGUAAAGCUCUAUCAGCAGGAAAGAAAAUGACGGUACCUGACUAAGAAGCCCCGGCUAACUACGUGCCAGUAGCCGCGGUAAUACGUAGGGGGCAAGCGUUAUCCGGAUUUACUGGGUGUAAAGGGAGCGUAGACGGUGAAGCAAGUCUGAUGUGAAAUACCGGGGCUCAACCCCGGGGCUGCAUUGGAAACUGGCAGGCUGGAGUGUCGGAGAGGCAGGCGGAAUUCCUAGUGUAGCGGUGAAAUGCGUAGAUAUUAGGAGGAACACCAGUGGCGAAGGCGGCCUGCUGGACGAUGACUGACGCUGAGGCUCGAAAGCGUGGGGAGCAAACAGGAUUAGAUACCCGAGUAG